rnacentral:rRNA from 1 species
GUCCACGCCCUAAACGAUGUCAACUGGUUGUUGGACGGCUUGCUGUUCAGUAACGAAGCUAACGCGUGAAGUUGACCGCCUGGGGAGUACGGCCGCAAGGUUGAAACUCAAAGGAAAUUGACGGGGGACCCGGCCACAAGCGGUGGGAUGAUGUGGGUUUAAUUUCGAUGCAACGCGAAAACCUUAACCUACCCUUGACAUGUCUAGAAGUUACCAGAGAUGGUUUCGUGCUCGAAAGAGAACUAGAACACAGGUGCUGCAUGGCCGUCGU